ensembl:snoRNA SNORD26 Small nucleolar RNA SNORD26
CUGCAAAGAUGAGAUUCCUGAACUCUCUCUUUCUGAUGGUGAAGUGGAGAAGCUUUUCACAAGGUUCUGAGUGGC